AGACCCAUAGCACACUGGACACAAAUAUCUCAGUGAGCCUGGGAUAUUUUGUGUCCAGUGUGCUUUGGGUCUGGCAUCCAGGCUAAGCAUGGAGGCAACUAGUUUGAUCCCAUGCUACAGACCCUAUCCUAUAAUACCUUCGCCAAGAAUUGACGAAGACGAAACAAGCUGAACUUUGAAGCCGACUGUAACCAGAUCCGAGUCACGCUGACACGACAGGACCAAGGUCACCAGCAGCUGAGACUCAAGGUCAAGGCCACAGGACAGGAACAUGUCCUACAGCCUGGAGUACCUGUGGUGUUUUCUCGUCGAGCUGCCUCAAUAUUCCCACGGACAACCCUGUAGUUUAACUGUACAUGUGCCUUCUUUAAUUUGUAGAGUUAAUAUAGACCGGCAGUUAGACAGAAUGUACUGCACCUGUGCUAAGCCUGGAUUCGAUUUCGAUGGCUGUUUGGUGAGUGUUGCAUCAGAAUUUUCUGAUACAAAAGUUUUAGAACUACAGCCUGGAAAUCAUCCUUAUAUUUGCAAAUAAAACCUUAAAUGAGACGCUCUGCUGGAGUGCUAUGCACUUGGGUUUCGAACGGAUGCAGUACGUUCUGCCGAGGGGCUACAUAUAUAGACCAAAGUGCUGAUCAUGGGUGGCUUGAAAUAUGACUUACGGGUGAUUUCUGUUAUGCCAUGUUAAGAGAAAAAAUUAUAGUUUGAAAUAAAUUGAGAGCUAUUGUUAAUAGUCUUCCUAGACUGGACUGCCAAUGAAUUGUUAUAUGAUGAUCUGUUCAAUGCUUGAGCACUUAAAAGUAGCCUCUAUUGUGAAUGGAAAGUAAUUUCAUACAAGUGGUAAACUUAAAUUUCAUAGUAGCUCCUUUUUACUCCUUUGGUCUAAUAUAAAGUCAGGGUGUAAGGAUCCAUAAAAUGGUAAAACAAGGACUAGAAGAACAUAUUUAUUUUCUGUAGUUUGAGAUGAUAGAUGUUUAUUUCAGACUUAUUUGAAAACAGUGACAUUCUAUAAAAGCCAAAGGAAAGAAAUAUAUUAUGUGUCUCGUAUCUGAAAACUAUUCAAGAUUCUAUACUUGUUUUUAGCUCAGAAGCACAUUGUUUGAAUAUUUUGGACCUUGGUUCUUCUAAACAGUGUUGCUUUCAGCCACAAUACAAUACUACUGGUAUUCAGAGAGUGGCUGUGCCACAUUUUCUGCUUCUAUAUACAUUUGUAUGUACAUUUCUGUAAUGUUUUAUGUUAUAUUAUAGUCCUUUUUUGUAAUUAAAGGGAAAUAUUCCCAAAGCAGUUCCCGUAGCAAGUAUUGUUUUGCUUAACACUUUCAAUAUUUCUGAUUCUUGGAUUGUUGUAUGAUAUGAUGUCUGAUGUGUGACAUUUGCAUUAUAUAUACAGCUGACUUCUGUAGUUUUUGAAACUGAAAAAAGUUUAUGGAGCUAAGAGAAGUAAUAAAAACAAG